rnacentral:rRNA from 1 species
AUUGAACGCUGGCGGCAUGCCUUACACAUGCAAGUCGAACGGUAACAGGUCUUCGGAUGCUGACGAGUGGCGAACGGGUGAGUAAUACAUCGGAACGUGCCUAGUAGUGGGGGACAACUACUCGAAAGAGUGGCUAAUACCGCAUGAGAUCUACGGAUGAAAGCAGGGGAUCGCAAGACCUUGUGCUACUAGAGCGGCCGAUGGCAGAUUAGGUAGUUGGUGGGAUAAAAGCUUACCAAGCCGACGAUCUGUAGCUGGUCUGAGAGGACGAUCAGCCACACUGGGACUGAGACACGGCCCAGACUCCUACGGGAGGAAGCAGUGGGGAAUUUUGGACAAUGGGCGCAAGCCUGAUCCAGCAAUGCCGCGUGCAGGAUGAAGGCCUUCGGGUUGUAAACUGCUUUUGUACGGAACGAAAAGCCCCGGGUUAAUACCCUGGGGUCAUGACGGUACCGUAAGAAUAAGCACCGGCUAACUACGUGCCAGCAGCCGCCGUAA